CCAAUAGCGUAUAUUAAAGUUGUUGCAGUUAAAAAGCUCGUAGUUGAAUUUCGGGCCUGGCUGGACGGUCCGCCCUUCGGGUGAGUACUGUCUGUGGUCGGGUCCUACCUUCUGGCGAAGCGUCAUGGCCUUAACCGGCCGUGGCGGGGAACCAGGACUUUUACUGUGAAAAAAUUAGAGUGUUCAAAGCAGGCAAAUCGCUUGGAUACAUUAGCAUGGAAUAAUGGAAUAGGACAAUGGUUCUAUUUGUUGGUUUCUAGGACCGUUGUAAUGAUUAAUAGGGAUAGUUGGGGGCAUUAGUAUUAAAUUGUCAGAGGUGAAAUUCUUGGAUUUAUUGAAGACUAACUACUGCGAAAGCAUUUGCCAAGGAUGUUUUCAUUAAUCAAGAACGAAAGUUAGGGGAUCGAAGACGAUCAGAUACCGUCGUAGUCUUAACCAUAAACUAUGCCGACUAGGAAUCGGGCGAUGUUGAAAAAAUGACGCGCUCGGCACCUCAUG
rnacentral:misc_RNA from 1 species